AAAGAGGAUUAUAGCCUAAUCUAAUAUGAGUUGUUAAGUUAAUAUGUAUAAGCUAAUAGACUUAUAGAACAUAUAAAUAUGAUAUAAAUCAAUUUUGUAGCAACCUAGUAACUAAUCCACCUAUCUAUAUACACACGGUACUUAUGUGUAUCAUCGGAUUAGGUUUAAGCAUUGUAUAUGUAUACAUAUAAAUGUAUAUGAAUCAAAUAUACAUUGUUAAUAUAAUAAAUAGACAAGUAAAAUAAUAGAAGUAUCUUAAAGAUAAAUAAGUGAUAAAAUAUGAACCUACAAGCGAGGAUUGACCUAAUAGUAGUUAAAGGAACUUAAUUGGUUCUAGAGAUAGAGUAAUGCGACGUGUGAGCAUGCGGGUAGUUAGGAUGUCAUAGAGUAUGAGAUUCAAUAGUGUAGUCUAACGAUACCAAUGUUUGCAGGAUCGUGUUGUAAUUGGAGACUUCAAUGGGUUCUCCAAUGUAGAGUCCAAGUGACUAGAGUCCAAGGAGUGUUCGGGUUGGAGUCCAAUGCAGCCAAGAUGAUGUUUCUUUGGCUGCAGGUACUUCGGUAUAGUCGAUGGGUCGGUAGCAGUGUGCUUGGGAUAUUAUGACUGAAGCUCGCCGCGUCAGUUGUAAUUGUCGGACCACGGGUUGUCCACUAUUUUAUAGGUUUGGUAUGGCUUGUGAUGUUUGUGUCACUUAUUCUUUGUUAAGCCAUUAUUCUUAUAGUAUUAAUAAGACUCAAACAGAUAGAUGUUAAAUGGCUCUUUGUUGUAA